UACGAAGGGGGCUAGCGUUGUUCGGGAUCACUGGGCGUAAAGCGCACGUAGGCGGAUUUUUAAGUCAGGGGUGAAAUCCCGGGGCUCAACCUCGGAACUGCCUUCGAUACUGGCGAUCUUCGAGUCCGGGAGAGGUGAGUGGAACUCCGAGUGUAGAGGUGAAAUUCGUAGAUAUUCGGAAGAACACCAGUGGCGAAGGCGGCUCACUGGCCCGGUACUGACGCUGAAAUACGAAAGCGUGGGGAGCAAACAGG
rnacentral:rRNA from 1 species